GGACGGAGCUUCUUUUUGACGCGUUAAAUGAUUCAGCAAACCUCAGCAGAUAAAGAGCGAACGGCGAAGUUCGUUUAAAAAGGGAGCGCGUGCGUGACAGCGAUGAAUGCUCGGACGUGCCCGCCUCCAUCUUUGUUCCAUAUGGCUUCAUCCUUGACAGCGGUUUGAAAGCUCAGACCGACUUCUUCAGCGCCACAUCCGGCUUCUCGCCGAGACUUGAACGCGGCGCCCGCGGCACCAGCUGGACGGGGACAACUGGCCCGGAGGCACGAGCGCUGAAUGCUGCGAGGCCACAAAAAACGCACCGUUUAGCCGCCACUGACCCCAGUUUAAUCCAGACAAGCCGGCCAAUGGAAGGACAGAAGGUUCUGAUUUACUCAUCUGGACUCAAUGCAACUCCUCUGGUUUCAAUGAAACAAACCAGCUGUAACAUUCCCAUCAUCUCCUCCCCCCCCCCUUCGCCCGGACUCCUCUGUGAAGGACUCUAACCCCCGUCCCUCGGGCCGAUCUCGCGCGAUAAGGACCAGCGGACCACUGUGGCUUCUUGUCCUCUCAUGCGCAAGCAAAUGCUUCCUCCUUUGGACUGUGUGAACUCGCUCGAUUCUUUACUUGUCUUCGUUAUCUCUGACCGUUCCCCCUUUCCUGUCCCCUAUCCAGCUCCAUCAAUCUCUUUAUCUUCCACCUCUUUCAUCCCUUGUUAUUCCUCCCGCUCUUCACAACAACAACACCCAACCGUCAGCGCUCUCGCAGUACGUAUUUAUCACUGACAUGUCGGUGAGCGUCACCACACCUUUACUUCUGGUGUUUACUCGAACACCUCCAUCAGAGCUGGCACUUCCUCCACAUAAACAUGUACAGGCCACUGAAUGGCAUGGGACAACAUCUAAACGUCCUGCUGCGCGGUAAAUGUGACGAAGUUAAGGAAAAAUGUCCUCUACAUUGAGAAGAACAAGAGAACAAAAAAGGUACAAUUUAUAUUCAAGGAGCACUUUGAUGUUUUCUUGAUUGUCACACAAAGAAACCCAAUUGUAUGAGAUUUCAUUCUCUUUCUACUUUAUACAAUUUCACGUCAGCUUAAUUUCACAAGAGGGACAAUUCGUCAUGGACCAAAAAAAGAGAUUGAUAUUAUGAUAGAAGCUUGUCAUUGUGCAUUCAGCGCUGAUAAGCUACAGAAGGUUUAACAGCAUAUUGGAUGAUGAUUGAACCUGAUACAUAUGAUUACAAUGACCCACAUUAACGUGUUGUGUGAUAGUGUUUUUCAGCCCACAAAAGCUUGUAAUCAUAAGACGUUUUGACUUCUUUUCUUUGCCCUCCAGCAAAUGCAGACUGACUUCCAAAACAACACGGGACCUACAAUUGAAUUCGGAAGCAGUGUUGAAAUUGGGGUUUUAGUCCGUGCUAAGUCUAAACGGGCCAUCGGUGUCUUUUUAAUAUUGUUCGGUUGCCACUUUGCCAGAGCUAACUCUGUGGCGAGGGAACACGCGACGAGCGAAUGAGAAGGGAAUCGGAGCACACGCACAGAAUCACACACGGCCGCUGUGUCACAGUCAGAGCCCAGUGCUU
ensembl:lncRNA